AAGUGAUUCUUGUGCUUCAGCCUCCCUCAAUGUUUUUUUUACUUUGUCCCACAGUAAGAAAUCCAUUUGACAUCAUGGUGCAGAAUACACGUACAUCAAAGGUAUUAGAAAAUUGUUAUCUUGCAUCAUACAAAGGACGCUGUUAUUUUUCUAUCCAGUCCUGCUCUAGUUCCUUUACACCUCCCCCCAAAAAAGUUCACACCCAUUACUAUGGUUCCACCACCCACUAAUGAGGGCUCCAACCCCGAGUUGAGAAUCACUGCCUACUACCCUAAUCAACUGAUGGCAUUCUUGCAGGAGUAUGUUGACAAAGCCCAUACUGAAAUGUGUCCCCCAAAUGUGUAAUUCUUCCUAUUGUAAUGUGAUAAAUUGUGUAAUGAAACGUUUUGCUGGAGUUUUAUGAGAAUUUUUUUUGACUGAAGACACGAGAUGAGUUUUUAAUUAUUUUUUUCAAAGCUCUAUUUUCAGCAUAAAUUAAGUACAAAAUAUAUUUUAUGGAAUAGUUAUAGGGUUUUUUAGGAAAAUUUAAAAGAUUUUGUGGUUCUUUCUAAGGAAAACUUUCAAUGUGUUAAAAACCUAUCCAGGGCCUGGUGCAGUGGCUCACGCCUGUAAUCCCAGCACUUUGGGAGGCUGAGACAGGCAGAUCGCUUGAGGCCAGGAGUUCAAGACUAGCCUGGUCAACAUGGUG
rnacentral:lncRNA from 1 species